rnacentral:misc_RNA from 1 species
GUGAAUCAUCGAAUCUUUGAACGCACAUUGCGCCUGCUGGUAUUCCGGUAGGCAUGCCUGUUUGAGCGUCAGCAAAACCUCUCAGCAAUUAUUUUUAUUGUUGGUUAUGGGCGAGGAGUAAGACCUAACAGUCGCUCCUCCCUUAAACUUGCUGUACGACCGCAAGCUUAUUGCCAGGUUAAUGGAGUGGUGUUUACAAUAUUCCAGCUGCCUGCGAAGCGAACGGCGUUAAACCUGAUGUUGCAUUUUUGCAGCUGAAGUUUGACCUCAAAUCAGACAAGGAUACCCGCUGAACUUAAG